UCACUUACCUGGACGGGGUCAAUGGGCGAUCAAAAAGGUCCAUGGCCUAGGUUGGUGACCUCCAUUGCACUUAGGAGGGGUGCCCGCCUAAGGUCGGCCCAAGUGGUCGAGCCUACGUCAUAAUUUGUGGCAGUGGAGGCUUGCGUUCGCGCAGCCUCUU
rnacentral:snRNA from 1 species